ACCACGAGGUGGCGGCCAUCUUGUUCACAUGAACGCAGGCAGCUGGGUUUGGGCAUGAAUCUCAUGGAACUAAAAUUGGGCACAGAAACUCCUGAACACCACUGGACUUCCAUCAUCGCCUGCGUUCGGUUCUACUCAACUUAGAAGGGCACUGUUCGGUGGAAUUGUUCAACUGAACAAGGGGAAUAGGCUCCAGGGUAAGACCAUUGACUUUGUUCAGCAGUUUGUUUGUUUUUAAACUAUCGAACUAGACCGACCGCUAGCCCUGUUGGAACUGUUUUGGACAUGGGACCAUGCGUGUGGUCGGUCAACAAAUGACUUCCAGGAAAUUCCUGAACCCCUGAACUGCUCUUGGUGAUUUUGGGGGUUUUAUGUAUUUUUAGGGUACUUUUGGGGUGUUUUGGAAAAAAGUGUGUUUUUUCUGUGCAUGGAGAUAAUUGGAUUAGAUUAGUACAGUUGCUGAUCCAAUUAUCUCUCAGGCACAGAGGAGGGAUUAUCUGAUUUUGUAUGGGAGUGUCCUGGAUCUGAGAGCCAAUGUAAUUGUGUAUUUGUUUCUACUGUGGUUUACUCUCAGGUCCAGGUGGGAGUGCCCCUUGCAUGGGGACCUGAAUAUAAGGCCAGUUGUGGCUGCCAAUAAAAGCAUACCAG